rnacentral:rRNA from 1 species
UACGUAGGAUGCAAGCGUUAAUCGGAAUUACUGGGCGUAAAGCGUGCGCAGGCGGUGAUGUAAGACAAUUGUGAAAUCCCCGGGCUCAACCUGGGAACUGCAUCUGUGACUGCAUUGCUGGAGUGCGGCAGAGGGGGAUGGAAUUCCGCGUGUAGCAGUGAAAUGCGUAGAUAUGCGGAGGAACACCGAUGGCGAAGGCAAUCCCCUGGGCCUGCACUGACGCUCAUGCACGAAAGCGUGGGGAGCAAACAGG